GUGGUGCAAUUGUUUAACACACUUGGCUGCUAACCAAAAGGUUGGUGGUUUGAGUCCACCC
rnacentral:tRNA from 1 species